rnacentral:rRNA from 1 species
CAGCCGCCGCGGUAAUACAGAGGGUGCAAGCGUUAAUCGGAAUUACUGGGCGUAAAGCGUGCGUAGGCGGCUUCUUAAGUCGGAUGUGAAAUCCCUGAGCUUAACUUAGGAAUUGCAUUCGAUACUGGGAAGCUAGAGUAUGGGAGAGGAUGGUAGAAUUCCAGGUGUAGCGGUGAAAUGCGUAGAGAUCUGGAGGAAUACCGAUGGCGAAGGCAGCCAUCUGGCCUAAUACUGACGCUGAGGUACGAAAGCAUGGGGAGCAAACAGGAUUAGAUACCCCCGUAGUCCCUGUCUCUUAUAC